rnacentral:rRNA from 1 species
CAGCAGUCGCCGCGGUAAUACGUAGGUGGCAAGCGUUGUCCGGAAUUAUUGGGCGUAAAGGGCUCGCGGGCGGUUUCUUAAGUCUGAUGUGAAAGCCCCCGGCUCAACCGGGGAGGGUCAUUGGAAACUGGGAAACUUGAGUGCAGAAGAGGAGAGUGGAAUUCCACGUGUAGCGGUGAAAUGCGUAGAGAUGUGGAGGAACACCAGUGGCGAAGGCGACUCUCUGGUCUGUAGCUGACGCUGAGGAGCGAAAGCGUGGGGAGCGAACAGGAUUAGAUACCCCCGUAGUCCCUGUCUCUUAUAC